UGGCUUCAGAAGCGCCCCAGGUGAUCCCGAUGACACUCAAGUGGGAGCCCCACUGCUUUGUUUUGCACUUACUUAGAGCUCGCUUCUGUGUCUCUUCGGUCAGCUGGUCUGGUACUGGUUUAAACUGGACAAACUGCAGACGAUGUCCUUUACCUUGUUGCACAGGUACACACCAAAAGAUUUAGAAGACGGGAGACUGGAUGUUGGGCCGUGCAGAGAAGGUCGUGUGCACCUGCGGUGAUUGGUUCAUGGGGUCAAAUGAGUCUCUGGCGAUUGACAGAGUUGAUUAAUGGGUUGGGGAAUCCUGCAGUGGUUGAGACAUCACGUGAUUUUUAACUUGCCCCUCUUACUAGUUUGCAUUUGCCCCUCAUGUCUUAGGAACAUCAAGAAUAAAGUUGGAGUGGGAGAGA